UACGUAGGCAGCGAGCGUUGUUCGGAAUUAUUGGGCGUAAAGGGCGCGUAGGCGGUGCGGUAAGUCACCUGUGAAAUCUCCUGGCUCAACUGGGAGCUUGCAGGCGAAGCUGCCGUGCUGGAGUGUGGGAGAGGUGCGUGGAAUUCCUGGUGUAGCGGUGAAAUGCGUAGAUAUCAGGAGGAACACCUGUGGCGAAAGCGGCGCACUGGACCACAACUGACGCUGAGGCGCGAAAGCUAGGGGAGCAAACAGG
rnacentral:rRNA from 1 species